AUCCUAUGACAUAAACCAGAAAUGAAAAUGAUGAAUUAAAAUGAAGAAACCUGCCCAUUCCUUCUUUUUCUACUUACAACUUCAGUUUACUGUAACUUACCAGAAUGUCAUAUACAAUAUACAAACUUUCAGAAAAAAUGUUACAUACGCUGGGUAAGAUGUAAACUUAAUAUUUUCGAUUAAAAAAUAUCUAUCUUAUCACGACGGACUUUUUUGCUAUUGAAUAAUACCGACGUAAUACCUAAUUAGAAAAGGUUACGAGAAAGUUCAAGUGUCAAAUGCAUUCAUUUUCAUUUGAAUAAAUUUAAAAUACAGAAUGCAGAAAGAAUGUAAUGUUGUGUCAGAUAAUGAAUUCUUUGAGAAAGCAUAUUACAUUGUUAUAAAAGUAAAUUCAUCGUCGACGAUUUCCAUCAUAUUAAAAGGUUGGGUAAUUUUACAUUGAAUUCUAAUUUCUGCAUUAUAUUUUGUGUGGAAAACUGAGAAACAUUAAAACAUCUUUCAAUAUACUAGUGCAAAACAUGGAGAAAAAGUUGUUCUUUUCGGAUUCACUGAUUUCCGGAAUCAAACAAUGUAAUGCCAUUAGAAAAUAAUCCUUAAACUGUAAUCACCAAAGAUAAACUAAAUUAGACCUGAAAGUUAGAUACCAAUUAUACAUAUUUUAUUUGACGAAGUAAGCUAGCUAACAUUAAUUUUUAUCUACCAUUAUAUUUCUUAAAAACAUCUGGAAAUUUCCUGAUGAACCGACAAUGUGAACAAAAUUCAGAAAUUCCAUGCAAUACUUUUUUAAAAUUAAAUGAGCUUAUACCAUGGAUGUUACGUGUAGAAUCAUGCUCGAAUAUACUUAUGCAACUACAGUAGAUGCUGGCUUUACUACAGAAGAUAUUCGUGGAAUAAGCAUAGGUGAAUACAUAAAUAUGUAUUUUAUAUUGAUACCGAGACAUCUUUGCUUUAUGGUAACCUUCAGGUCAAUGGCUUCGAUAUCAAGAGUUGUGGCAUAUAUAUGACCACUUAACUUAUUUCAAAAUAAUGGUUGCGUUUAACUGGACCAUCAUAUAACGUCAAUUCAACGUGUAGUUCUAGCCUUUCCACGAUGAAACAUCGUCCUAUAUGUUUUGUACAAACUGAUUAUGCCGGUAAGAUAUGGUCGGUAGAACAAAUCUUUGUUCCAUCAACGCGCAUUUCUUCAAUUUACUCGUUCAGGUGUGUUGAAUCAGAAUGGUCACUGCAGGGUUUUUGACGAAAAUGCUAAUGAUGACAUGCAUAUUCCUGUAGCAUUUUUACAGAAAGCAAUAACUGUUUAGGAUAUAUAUAUUACAAUUAUUCAUAGGAAUAACAUUUGUGAUGCUUAUAAUAAUGAAAGAAUAUCGCUUUCAUCCAACGAAAUGCAAAAGAAAAGUGAAGUAAUAUAUAAAGUUCCAUCCUAUAGAAUUUGCACAAUGACCAUUUUUUAUAUCAGAUGUACCUGUACGUUUUUUCAAAAUCAAUGAUGUAGUAACAGAUUAUUGGAAAUGCAGAAAGUCACAGCUAUUGUAAUUGUUCGAAAGAGACUUAUAUGUCAUGCAAUUAAUGAAGAAUAUAAAUUCGCUAUUUAUAGCGAUAGAAAAGAAAUAUCAAUACGAAAUAUAUUAAUGUUAUAUAUGCAUGUAUCUUUUGAGAAUAUAUCAAUAAUCAAGUCGAAGACAAUCGAAUUCAUUAAGGAUAAAGAAAAUAGAUGAACAGAAAAACUCAAUUUUCCAAUGCUUUGGGAUAUUCCAGACACUUUGCCUUUGAUAGAAGACAAACUUAAUAUUUUCACAUCCUCGAGCAAAUUAGGCGGUGAAGAUAUUCCUAAAGAUAUUACUAUUUUAGGAUCAAAUAUGACAGAAUCGCGUGAAAUGUAGUUAUCCGUUAUUGAAUAUGGUUUCUUGGCAAAUGGAGAAAAGAACUGCAUAAAACAAAUUUUAAUAUCUAAGAGAUGGUGAUUUCUUUUUAUUUCCUGAUAAAGAGGAGUACAUAAUUGGAUACAUUUAUAUUAUAGGAAUAUUAAUCACGUGUAAUUUUAGAAAAACGGACUUCUAAGGAGUUUUGUAUACAGUUAAAAGAGACAAAUAAAAGUCC